GGUGGCUCAGUGGUAGAGUGCUUGCCUAGUAUGCAUGAAGCCCUGGGUUCGAUUCCUCAGUACCA
rnacentral:tRNA from 1 species